GUGCUAUGCUGGGUGGUGCCAAUACGGGAGACACUAUGUGGAGAGGUUCCUGACCUGGAGGCAUGUUUUAGGGCCUGCUGUGACAACUCAGCUUCUUCCAAUUUACGAAGAAGACAGGUCCAGUUGAUGUCUGAGGACAGGCGGAUGUGGGCACCCUUCACCUUCUUGAAGCCCAGAAAGAUGUCCAUGAGAACCUCAGUGAUAGGAAAAGAGAUGAAGCCAAGUUGCUUAUUGAGGCUUUCCUCAAACUUCUAGUGAGUUCCUCAAACCAGGGGUUAGAGAUGUAGGACAAGCUGGAAACAGAUGAGAUGGAGGGCAGAGGCUUCUUCUUCGAAAACUUGGUGUUGGGGCUCUGUGCAACAGCCAAGGAGAGAAAAGGAGACGUUUAACCCUUGUCAUCCCCCUGCUGCCCUGUGACAUCAUAUUGCUACACCCACCUUGGCCGUUGUGCCAAUCUUCCCCCGUUACAGUCAGAGAAGCCAAGCUCAUCACACCAGGAUACAGGCCUGCCACAUCUGCCUACUGUAACAUUCAGUUCAUAUGCUGCACCUGCCAGGUCUAGAGCAAGCCCAGCAGCCUGAGCAGGCUGUGUGCAUGCAAGCUUGCACACAGCUUGUUCAGAAGGAAUUACAUCGGAACCCUGAUGAUGGUAGGUUGAGAUGUCCAGAGACCUUCAAGGUCAGGCCAUCUAUGUCUUCAUACACACUUCCUGACCAAGGUCCCCUUCAUGGAGCAGAAGGUCUAGAGAGUCCUAAAGCUAGAUUAG
rnacentral:lncRNA from 1 species